ACAAGCGGUGGAGCAUGUGGUUUAAUUCGAAGCAACGCGAAGAACCUUACCAGGUCUUGACAUCCCCUGACAACCCGAGAGAUCGGGCGUUCCCCUUCGGGGACAGGGUGACAGGUGGUGCAUGGUUGUCGUCAGCUCGUGUCGUGAGAUGUUGGGUUAAGUCCCGCAACGAGCGCAACCCUUGUCCUUAGUUACCAGCACGUUAAGGUGGGGCACUCUAAGGAGACUGCCGGUGACAAACCGGAGGAAGGUGGGGAUGACGUCAAGUCAUCAUAGCCCUUACGGCCUGGGCUACACACGUGCUACAAUGGUCGGUACAAAGGGUUGCCAAGCCGCGAGGUGGAGCUAAUCCCAUAAAACCGAUCGUAGUCCGGAUCGCAGUCUGCAACUCGACUGCGUGAAGUCGGAAUCGCUAGUAAUCGUGAAUCAGAAUGUCACGGUGAAUACGUUCCCGGGUCUU
rnacentral:rRNA from 1 species